UACGGGGGGGGCAAGCGUUGUUCGGAAUUACUGGGCGUAAAGGGCGCGUAGGCGGUUGGAUAAGUCAGCUGUGAAAACCACGGGCUUAACUCGUGGCCUGCAGUUGAGACUGUCUGGCUUGAGUGUGGGAGAGGAGAGUGGAAUUCCUGGUGUAGCGGUGAAAUGCGUAGAUAUCUGGAGGAACACCGGUGGCGAAGGCGGCAUCCUGGACCGACAUUGACGCUGAGGCGCGAAAGCCAGGGGAGCAAACGGG
rnacentral:rRNA from 1 species